UAACGAUUACAGCCGAUCAAUCAUUUCCCUGUUGCCAUGGCGAAGAGUAUGGAGGUGAAGAUCGCGGUGUUUGGCAGAGCCGGAGUCGGUAAAUCUGCUCUGGUUGUGAGAUUCUUAACCAAAAGAUUCAUCUGGGAGUACGACCCGACCCUCGAGUCGACGUA